rnacentral:rRNA from 1 species
AGGGUUUGAUCCUGGCUCAGAAUGAACGUUGGCGGCGUGGAUUAGGCAUGCAAGUCGCGCGAGAAAUCUUGGACUGAAGCUUCGGUUGAUUUCUAGGAUGGACAGCGGCGCAAGGGAGAGUAACGCGUAGUUACUUACCCCAGGGUCCGGGAUAGCCAUGGGAAACUGUGGGUAAUACCGGAUGAUAUCUCCGGAUCAAAGGUGUGAUUCCGCCCUGGGAGGGGACUGCGUCCUACUAGCUUGUUGGUGGGGUAAUGGCCUACCAAGGCUUUGAUGGGUAGCGGGCGUGAGAGCGUGGCCCGUCUCACUGGGACUGAGACACUGCACAGACACCUACGGGUGGCUGCAGUCGAGAAUCUUCGGCAAUGGGCGAAAGCCUGACCGAGCGACGCCGCGUGCGGGAUGAAGGCCUUCGGGUUGUAAACCGCUGUCAGUUGGGAGGAAAUCUGCAGGGGUUCUCCCCUGCGGUUGACCUAUCUUCAGAGGAAGACCGGGCUAAGUUCGUGCCAGCAGCCGCGGUAAGACGAACCGGUCGAACGUUAUUCGGAAUCAUUGGGCUUAAAGGGUGCGUAGGCGGUGCGGAAAGUUGGGUGUGAAAGCCCUCGGCUCAACCGAGGAAUUGCGCCCAAUACUGCCGCGCUAGAGGGAGACAGAGGUGAGCGGAACUGAUGGUGGAGCGGUGAAAUGCGUUGAUAUUAUCAGGAACACCAGUAGCGAAAGCGGCUCACUGGGUCUCUUCUGACGCUGAGGCACGAAAGCUAGGGUAGCGAACAGGAUUAGAUACCCGAGUAGUCCUGGCCGUAAACGCUGUGAGCUAGGUGUUGCGUUAGCCACGAGCUAGCGCAGUGUCGAAAGGAAGCUGUUAAGCUCACCGCCUGGGAAGUACGGUCGCAAGACUGAAACUUUAAGGAGUUGGCGGGGGAGCACCACAAGGGGUGCGGCGUGCGGUUUAAUCUAACUCAACGCAGAGAACCUUACUAGGGGCGACGGUAGGAUGAAGGCCAGCUUGAAGAGUUUGCCUGACAGACCAAGAGGUGGUGCAUGGCCGCCGUCAGCUCGUGCUGUGAAGUGUCCAGCUAAGCCUGGCAACGAGCGAGACCUGUAUCUGCAAUUGCUAGCGGGUGUUUACACGACCGAGCACUUUGCAGAGACUGCCUUGGAAACGAGGAGGAAGGUGCGGGCUACGGUAGGUCUGUAUGCCCCGAAUCCCCUAGGCUACACGCGCGCAACAAUGGUUGGGACAAUGGGAUGCAACUCCGAAAGGAGAAGCUAAACCUCUAAACCCAAUCCAAGUCCAGAUUGAGGCUUGCAACUCAGCCUCAUGACGACGGAAUCCCUAGUAAUCAGAAGUCAUCACCUUCUGGUGAAUAUGUCCCUGCUCCUUGCACACACCGCCCGUCAAAUCAACCGAGCAGGUUCUGGGUAAAAUGUAGUUUCUUGAUUACAUUGAAUCUAGGAUCAGUGAGGUGGGUUAAGUCGUCACAAGGUA